rnacentral:tRNA from 1 species
GCCCGGGUGGUGGAACAGGCAGACACAAGGGACUUAAAAUCCCUCGGUAGCAAUACCAUGCGAGUUCGAUUCUCGCCCCGGGCA